GGCGUCUGCUGUUUCUUGCAUUUGGUAUAAUGCUGCUGCUUGUGGCACCUAUUGUAAGUAGUUGGGUUCCAUUUUACUACAGCAGUUCAAUGGCUAUUGGAGUUUGUCUUGUCAUCAUUGUCCUUCUAUUCCAGGGGAUGAAAUUGCUGCCAACUGGAAGGAAAAAUAUAUUCUACCUGACUAUCUAUGGAUCAGUGCUUGGAGCAGGAUCAGUUUUGGUGCAUCAAUUCUCUAUGCUGAUAAAUUCCAUCAUCUCAAAUUUUGGGCUAAGUGAAGAGUUCCACAAUCCUGUUGCUGUAUUUAUUCUUGUCGGAAUCAUCCUUGCUGGAGCUGGUCUUGGAUAUUGGUUGGUGCGGAAAUUUGUUAUAUCAGAUGAUGGUAAUGUGGAUGUUGGUGUCGCACAAUUUGUUAAAUGGGCCAUACGCAUCAUUGGCAUUACCUUCAUCUUCCAGAGCACACUUGAUUCUCCCUUAGUGUUCUUGGUGCUUAGUUCUUGGUGGCUUAUUUGCUUUGCUGUUACUUCUAUGCAGCGGCAUGCAUCAAGGGAUUUGUCAUAUUCUGGAAUCGGAGAUGUUUGGGCAAAGAGUAGUAAGCAGAUAAACAUGAAUAAAAAACGUGCUGAGUUCCUUAGCAAAUCCAGAAAGUUUGGUUCGGUUGGAGUUCCAUACAGUAGCCCGAGCUCAUCUGCAUGGUCUGAUUCUCCUGUCAAAGGAUUUUCAGAUGGCAAAGGUAAAAAAGUGGGCGAAUACUAUUCAACUUUUCACAAGACACCGUACCGAAAGAGAUUCUCGCCAAAGGAGUGGGAAGAUUUCACACAAGAGUCUACCAAGGAAGCUGUUGCUGAAUUAGCUUCGUCUCCUGAAUUCACUAAUUGGAUCAUCAAACAUGCUGAUAGAAUACAGCUUCUACAAGAGGAUAGUUCGGAUGAAUCUGUUGGAAGCGGGUCAGACUCAACAGAUGAUAAUGAUGCAGAGAGUUGUAGUGGGCUUGAAUUGUUUAAAUGGCGGUAUUGCUAGUAGCAACUUCCCCUUAAACUGUUCAUGCAAGGCUCAUUUGAACCUGGAUGGGAGUUAGCUCCAAACUUUUACCAUUCAAUUUUCACCUAAGCUAAGUUAAUAGGAUUAACAAUAGGUAUCAGUAGCUGGUAACAGUUGUUGGAGCUGCAUGCCAGAUAUAGGAACUAGCAUU
rnacentral:misc_RNA from 1 species